ACCGCGGCAAGAGCCCGGGCAGCGCAGCAGAGCUUUCUGGGCUUUUAGUGGGAGCUUGCAACGUCUGACAGAACAUCUUGGCCGCGGCUGCUUCUCCAAAGAAGGUGAUAUCAUGAGAGAUGCUGUCACCCGACGGAGACAAAACACCUGAGGCCAGAAUGCAGAACGUUGCCAUUUCCACAACCGAUUCGGACGCCAAGCUCAACAAACACGUUUGGAAAGCCAAAGAAAGCAACAGGAGAGAAAAAAAAAAGAGCACGAAGUUGACACUCAAGGGUUAUCGUGCACUUGACCGAGAGCCCUGAGGUGUUUGACACGCUCCGACCUGCUGCCUGCCCAGGAACCAAGUCGCACUUGACUAAAACACACGUGCCGUCUCAACCCAAGCUUUUCAAAUGACGCUCUUCAAUGGCUGAAUCUUCCCAAGGUGGAGGACAGUUAUGACAGAUUCUGUCAUCUUUAAGAGAUAAAACGAUGGCUGAAGUCCUAGGGUUCACCGUCGCCCCCACCUGGGAAGGUGUCAGUUCUGGAGGACGGAGGUGUUCACAGGCGAUUCAUCUCCACUUCCACUCUCUCGCCGCCGCCCACGUCAGCCCGUCGUCCGUUUGUCAACUCGACAUCUUCCUUCCACUCAGACAAGAAGGCGGCCGAGCAUUUGCGCUUUCAAGCCGGAGGCAAGUUGAGGGAGGAACAGUCAAGUGGAGCGCUCGGACGAUCUGUGAGCUCCCCCCCCCUCCCCACCUACACUGAAGGAUGAGUGGGGUCCGCCGUCACUUUAGUUGUCGGUGCACUCCUGGGAAGUGUCCACCUCCAGCAUGUCCGUGUUUUUCCUGAUACUUUGCAAGACCGGUGUGAGACGCAAACUCCAGAUGCUUCCGGGGAAAAUGAUCAACUCCGUCUACAGUGAUGAGGAAAGGGGAAGCCAAGACAAAGAAAGCAAGGAGGAGACCAUCUUGGCCAUGUUGGGCAUCAUCGGGACCGUUCUUAACUUGCUGGUCAUCAUCUUUGUAUACAUCUACACUACGCUGUAGAGCCCUUCGAACAUAUACAGCAGCCAUGGCCGCCCAGGCGGAGA